rnacentral:rRNA from 1 species
UACGGGGGGAGCAAGCGUUGUUCGGAUUUACUGGGCGUAAAGGGCGCGUAGGCGGCCACCGCAAGUCGACUGUGAAAUCCCCAGGCUUAACCUGGGAACUGCGUCCGAUACUGGAUGGCUUGAGUGCAGGAGAGGAACGCGGAAUUCCGAGGUGUAGCGGUGAAAUGCGUAGAUAUCUGGAGGACACCGGUGGCGAAGGCGGCGUUCUGGACUGCAACUGACACUGAGGAACGAAAGCCAGGGGAGCAAACGGG